rnacentral:rRNA from 1 species
AUCAUGGCUCAGAUUGAACGCUGGCGGCAGGCCUAACACAUGCAAGUCGAGCGGAAACGAGUUGUCUGAACCUUCGGGGAACGAUAACGGCGUCGAGCGGCGGACGGGUGAGUAAUGCCUAGGAAAUUGCCCUGAUGUGGGGGAUAACCAUUGGAAACGAUGGCUAAUACCGCAUGAUGCCUACGGGCCAAAGAGGGGGACCUUCGGGCCUCUCGCGUCAGGAUAUGCCUAGGUGGGAUUAGCUAGUUGGUGAGGUAAGGGCUCACCAAGGCGACGAUCCCUAGCUGGUCUGAGAGGAUGAUCAGCCACACUGGAACUGAGACACGGUCCAGACUCCUACGGGAGGCAGCAGUGGGGAAUAUUGCACAAUGGGCGCAAGCCUGAUGCAGCCAUGCCGCGUGUGUGAAGAAGGCCUUCGGGUUGUAAAGCACUUUCAGUCGUGAGGAAGGUAGUGUAGUUAAUAGCUGCAUU